UACGGGGGGGGCAAGCGUUGUUCGGAAUUACUGGGCGUAAAGGGCGCGUAGGCGGCCUGCUAAGUCGGAUGUGAAAUCCCUCGGCUCAACCGGGGAACUGCGUCCGAUACUGGCGGGCUUGAAUUCGGGAGAGGGAUGUGGAAUUCCAGGUGUAGCGGUGAAAUGCGUAGAUAUCUGGAGGAACACCGGUGGCGAAGGCGGCAUCCUGGACCGACAUUGACGCUGAGGCGCGAAAGCCAGGGGAGCAAACGGG
rnacentral:rRNA from 1 species